AUGGAUGAAACCCACCAAAACUUGGCUUGAACCCACCAAAACUUGGCCUAAAGCCACCCAAAAUCGCUCCAAACCCAACAGAAUGGUCUUGAACCCACCAAAAAUUGGCUUAAAACCACCAAAAAUGGAUGAAACCCAAGAAAAAGGUCUUGAAACCAUCAAAAAUUGGUUUGAAACCACGAAAAAUUGGUGUAACUCAACAGAAAGGGCUUAAAACCACCAAAAAUGGGCUUAAAACCACCAAAAAUGGAUGAAACCCACCAAAACUUGGCUUGAACCCACCCAAACUUGGCCUAAACCCACCCAAAAUCGCUCCAAACCCAACAGAAAGGUCCUGAACCCACCCAAAAUAGGCUUAAAACCACCAAAAAUGGCUCUAAACCCAACAGAACGGUCUUGAAACCACCAAAAAUGGAUGAAACCCAAGAGAAAGGUCUUGAAACCACCAAAAAUUGGUUUGAAACCACCAAAAAUCGGUGUAAACCCAACAGAAAGGUCUUGAAACCACCAAAAAUCGCCUUGAACCCACCCAAACUUGGCCUAAAGCCACCCAAAAUCGCUCCAAACCCAACAGAAAGGUCCUGAACCCACCCAAAAUUGGCUUAAAACCACCAAAAAUGGAUGAAACCCAAGAGAAAGGUCUUGAAACCAUCAAAAAUUGCCUUGAAACCACCAAAAAUGGAUGAAACCCACCAAAACUUGGCUUGAACCCACCAAAACUUGGCCUAAACCCAUCCAAAAUUGCUCUAAACCCAACAGAAAGGUCUUGAAACCACCCAAAAUUGGCUUAAAACCACCAAAAAUGGCUCCAAACCCAACAGAACGGUCUUGAAACCACCAAAAAUUGGUUUGAAACCACCAAAAAUCGGUGUAAACUCAACAGAAAGGUCUUGAAACCACCAAAAAUCGCCUUGAACCCACCCAAACUUGGCCUAAACCCACCCAAAAUCGCUCCAAACCCAACAGAAAGGUCUUGAAACCACCAAAACUUGGCUUGAACCCACCCAAACUUGGCCUAAAGCCACCCAAAAUCGCUCCAAACCCAACAGAAAGGUCCUGAACCCACCCAAAAUUGGCUUAAAACCACGAAAAAUGGAUGAAACCCAAGAGAAAGGUCUUGAAACCAUCAAAAAUUGCCUUGAAACCACCAAAAAUGGAUGAAACCCACCAAAACUUGGCUUGAACCCACCCAAACUUGGCCUAAACCCAUCCAAAAUUGCUCUAAACCCAACAGAAAGGUCUUGAACCCACCCAAAAUUGGCUUAAAACCACCAAAAAUGGCUCCAAACCCAACAGAACGGUCUUGAAACCACCAAAAAUUGGUUUGAAACCACCAAAAAUCGGUGUAAACUCAACAGAAAGGUCUUGAAACCACCAAAACUUGGCUUGAACCCACCCAAACUUGGCCUAAACCCACCCAAAAUCGCUCCAAACCCAACAGAAAGGUCUUGAAACCACCCAAAAUUGGCUUAAAACCACCAAAAAUGGCUCUAAACCCAACAGAAAUUCUUGAAACCAUCAAAAAUUGCCUUGAAACGCCCCAAAAAUGGAUGAAACCCACCAAAACUUGGCUUGAACCCACCAAAACUUGGCCUAAACCCACCCAAAAUCGCUCCAAACCCAACAGAAAGGUCCUGAACCCACCCAAAAUUGGCUUAAAA